UCCCGGAACCGGAAGAGAACACCCGAGAUGCUCCUCCUCCGCUCCCACCGCCCCCCUUGCCGCCUUCCUCUCCUCCCCGACAUCCACCGCAUCACCAUGUCGUCCUCCUCCUCCUCGACCCCGGCGCCGGCCUCGUCAGCGGCAGCGGACUACCACUGCCGCACCAAGCACAGCCUCACCGCCGGCUACGCGCGCGGCCCGGGCCGCCUCGACUGGGCCAACCAGCCCAACCCCUUCCUCCGCUUCUCCCCUUCCUCGCUAAUCGCUCUCCCCAACCCGCCUCCGCUUCCGCUUCUCUCCCCCGUCCACUACCCGGCCCUCUUCCACUCCCCGCCGCCUCCGCCGCAGCCGCUCUCGCUCGACUCCCUCUCCGACCUCCUCUUCCACUCGCUCGCCCUCUCCGCCUGGAAGUCCGCCGGCGCCUCCACGUGGUCCCUCCGCGUCAACCCCAGCAGCGGCAACCUCCACCCCACCGAGGCCCACCUCCUCUUCCACCACCCGGAGCAGGAGCCCCGCCGCCUCGUCCUCGCCCACUACGCGCCCCGCGACCACCUCCUCGAGAUUCGCGCCACCGGGCCCGCUGACAACCCUUCGGCUCUACUGCCACCGCCCGCGACCGCGCUCCUCGCGCUCUCGUCCAUCUUCUGGCGGGAGGCUUGGAAGUACGGCGAACGGGCGCUGCGCUACUGCAACCACGACGUGGGCCACGCGCUGGCCGCCGUCGCGGUUGCCGCGGCCACGCUUGGGUGGGACGCCCGGUUGCUGGACGGCUUGUCCGAUCAAGACCUUGGCAGGCUAGUGGGAGUGGACAAAGGCUGCCCUGCCCCCCCUCCGGACAAUGAUGUGGUGACGAGCAGGGGCAAGGCGCCCUGGGUUGAGAGGCAUCACCCGGAUUGCGCUCUUCUUCUGUUCCCUGUGGGCUCAGAGCCGGAGGUGGACUACGCCCGGAUAAGCGAUGCUCUGAGGGGAUUUGAUGCAGUGGAGUGGGCGGGCAAGGCAAAUGGGCUGAGCAAGAAUCAUGUGGUGUGGGAUGUCAUAUACCGCACGGCCGAGGCGGUCAAGAAGCAUCGUCCCGAGCCCGGCGAGCAGUUCUCGGUGAGCCCAUGGCGCAGGAGUGCAGAGCUAUCUGAAGGGCUGUAUAAGGAACGGACGGUGCAGGAGGUGGUGCGGCAGCGGAGGAGUGCGGUUGACAUGGAUGGGAUGCACGUGAUGUCGAAGGAACAGUUUUAUCAGAUGCUCUUGCAUUGCUUGCCUUCAGGCGAGGUUGGCCCGGGGGAGCGACAGGGACCGCAGAGCGCUCUACCGUUCCGCGUGUUGCCAUGGGAUGCAGAGGUGCAUGCUGCGCUGUUCGUGCACCGUGUCUCAGGGCUGCCCAAGGGGCUGUACUUCUUGGUGAGGAACGAGGAGCAUUUUGAUACGUUACGACAUGCUAUGAGGCAGGACUUCGAGUGGGCUCGGCCAGAGGGGUGCCCUGAUGGCCUCCCACUGUAUAGACUGUUGAAAGGAGACUGCGAGAGGUUGGCAAUGCAGAUUUCAUGCUUGCAGGAUAUUGCCUCACAUGGAUGCUUUAGCCUUGGGAUGAUUGCACGAUUUGAAGCUGUGCUGCGUGACAAAGGUGAAUGGAUGUAUCCUCGUUUAUUCUGGGAGACUGGUGUUCUUGGUCAAGUUCUCUACCUUGAGGCGCAUGCUGUAGGAAUAUCUGCCACAGGGAUUGGUUGCUACUUUGAUGAUGCCGUUCAUGAGGUACUUGGUUUGAAAGAUUUGGAGUUUCAAAGCUUGUACCAUUUUACCGUUGGCGCCCCUGUACUUGACAAGCGGAUUAUGAGUCUCCCUGCCUACCCAGGUCCAGGGAUUGAUGCAUGAUUCCUGGGUUCAGAGAGUGAUGAUCCAGGCCUACAGAUCAAUGCUUGCACGAUGGUGCUUCACAUGGAUGUUUUAGCCUUGGGAUUAUUUCAGGAUUUAAAGCUGUACUGCCUGACAAAGGUGAAUGCAUGUAUCCUUGUUUAUUCUGGGAGACUGGUGUUCUUGGUCAAGUUCUCUACCUCGAGGCGCAUGCUGUAGGAAUAUCCGCCACAUGGAUUGGUUGCUACUUUAAUGAUGUCGGUCCCAGGAUAGAGGCAGGUGAGGAAUGGGAUGACUUUUGCAUGUAUCCCAAUCUAGUGGAAAUGAAUCCUACACAAGUUGAAACCCUGAGAUAUCUUGUUGACCAAAAGCACCCCGCAAUUCCUUUUUAUGUGUGCACUAUAAAUACCGUGGAAGACAGUUCUAGAAUGUACUUCAACCGGAAGUUUACCAAGCAGUACAUCUCGAGGAAUAUGCACCUUACAGAUAAUGACUUUCUUGUCUCUUACAGUGAGAGACAUGGUGUGAAAGUGAGGAUUUUCCAGGGCAAAUGGAGGUUUGACGGUGCAGUGAUCACAACUAACUGGAGAUCUGUGGUGCAGAAGAGCAAGAUGAAGGAAAAUGAUAUCUUUGUGUUUUGGUUCUGCAUUCGCGCCCGGGGCGGUCUCAAGUUGCAUGUCAGGAAGCUCGAGAAAUGAGCUAGCAGGCUGAACCUCUCUAAUUAAGCUAGUAGUACUAUAUAUAUGUGUGUAUGAGCUCAAGUAAUAUGAGCGUUGAACCUCUU